rnacentral:snoRNA from 1 species
CUCGAUGACGAUUAAUAUUCACACUGUGUGAGAUUUUUCCUUUCAAUGAGCAUACAAAAAAUACUGAUUUAAUGAUUCUGAGA